AGUUCUUUCAGAGGGCCCACAAGACCUGGAAGGCAACUAGGUUAGAGGUAAGAUCGGGCCUAAAAAAUCCAGCCCGACCCGACCCAGGCCCGCGGGCAUUAAAGCCCGACCCAGCCCAAGCCCGACCAAUUUACUUGAUUUGCAGGCCCGAGCCCGAAGCAAACCCGAAAUUUAAAUUUAUCCCAUAGUAUUUUGGGCAGAAAAAACGCAAGAUCUUUUAAGGUUAAAAUAAUCUACAUAUUUUUAUGAUCAUGAUAAAUGAAUGGAACACAGAAUAAGAGGCCAGACAAAGAGAGUGAAAGAGAAAUCUUGAUGCGCACUCGCUUAAUUACGCGGAGAAAUACUGCAGCCCACUAGGCUUUAAAUAGAAUAACGCAAAUCAAAUAAAUGGUAAAAGAUAUAUGAAAUUGUUAUUUCUAUAGUUUUGUUUCAACGUUUUAGUGUAUAUUUUUAUAAACAAAUAUUUAUUAAAAAAAAGUCAGCGAGAGAGAAGCCCGGCCCGACCCGACCCGAACGUAAUGAUUGACAUUUUACGCAUUUUAAGCCCGACCCGAAUUUCGGGUUGGGUCGGGCUCGGACUCGGGCUCGGGCUCGGUCUUAAGAUCUUACCUCUAAACUAGGUCGGCCCUGGAGCGCACCCAGGAUACCAGCCGGUGCUCAGCCAACCGCCACCACCAACCUGCCCCUUCCUAUCAGCCGGGUUAGUUGGUCUGGUUGUCCACUCGGAACAUCCCGCUGGCAACCAGGUCCCGCAAGGUCGCCCCUCCCGCUUCAUCGGUCCCUUCCCUGUUGAGGACAUCAUAAACCCCUCCGCCAUUCGGCUGACCUUGCCCGGAUCAAUGAAGAUUCACCCCACCUUCCAUGUGUCCCAGCUAAAGCCCGUGUCCACCAGCUCUCUGUCCCCUCCUUCUGAACCCCCGCCUCCCCCCCAGCUCAUCGAUGAUCAGCCCGCCUACACUGUGCGGCGCUCCAUGGAUGUCCAACGCAGGGGCGGGGCCUGCAGUAUCUGGUCCACUGGGAGGGGUAGGGUCCAGAGGAGCAUUUCUGGGUGCCCUGGUCGUUCAUCCUGGUUCUGGAAUUCGUCGCCCAGUUCCACUGGGACAAUCCGGACAGACCGGGUGGGUUGCCUAGACGCUCUCGUUGAGGGACUGGGCUUCCAGACUCUUCCCCGUCGGGUGAUUGACACGCACCUGGAACCCAUCUCCAGCCAAUCACUCAUACCUGCCAUUUGUUUUAUAAUCUUGGUCCAUGUCUCAUUCUUCACCAAUUCGUCGUUAACCAUCCCCCCCCGUGGUACAGCCUGGCUCCUUGUUUCUCCCGCAGAUCGCCCAUCGCCCCUGUACAUGCCGCCCAGCCUGGAUCAUGUUUCUUCUGCCGCCUGCACCUUUUGUUUUUUGUUCUCAACCCUUGUUAGUAAAAGAAACCUUGCUCCAACUCCAGCUAUUCAUGUGUGUUUGCCUUCAGGGUCUAGAUUCGUGUCUGCAGAGGCAUAACACUUAUUGUCUCUAUUCCUGCUGUUGUUGCUAUUACUGCUCUUGUUGCUUUUGGUCCUCUUAUUGUCCUUUUUCCUGAUUUUGUCAAUAUUGCUGCUCUUAGUGUCUCUGUUACUGCUGUUGUUGCUGCUG
ensembl:lncRNA